CCUGGUGUAAGUGAUGACUGAACUUUUUUCCCCAACAGAUCGACCGUGUUGAUCUCAUUACUCUUUGCCAGUUUCAUUCUGAUGCACCAGC